rnacentral:rRNA from 1 species
UACAGAGGUGGCAAACGUUGUCCGGAUUUAUUGGGUGUAAAGGGCAUGUAGGUGGUUCUAUAAGUCAAAGGUGAAAUGGCCCGGCUCAACCAGGUCAUUGCCUUUGAAACUGCAGAACUUGAGUACGGAAGAGGAAAGCGGAAUUCCCAGUGUAGCGGUGAAAUGCGUAGAUAUUGGGAGGAACACCGGUGGCGAAGGCGGCUUUCUGGUCCGAAACUGACACUGAGAUGUGAAAGCCAGGGGAGCAAACGGG